CCUACGGGUGGCAGCAGUAAGGAAUAUUGGACAAUGCCCGCAAGGGUGAUCCAGCCAUGCCGCGUGCAGGAAGACGGCCCUAUGGGUUGUAAACUGCUUUUACACCGGAGAAAACCCCCCUACGUGUAGGGGGCUGAUAGUAUGGUGAGAAUAAGCAUCGGCUAACUUCGUGCCAGCAGCCGCGGUAAGACGAAGGAUGCAAGCGUUAUCCGGAUUCAUUGGGUUUAAAGGGAGCGUAGGCGGCCCGAUAAGUCAGUGGUGAAAUCUCCUGGCUUAACUAGGAAAUUGCCAUUGAUACUGUUGGGCUUGAGUACAGUUGCCGUUGGCGGAAUAUGACAUGUAGUGGUGAAAUACAUAGAGAUGUCAUAGAACACCGAUUGCGAAGGCAGCUAACGAAACUGUAACUGACGCUGAGGCUCGAAAGUGCGGGGAUCAAACAGGAUUAGAUACCCUAGUAGUC
rnacentral:rRNA from 1 species